GCUCACUUCGGCAGAACAUACACUAAAAUUAGAACAAAACAGAGAAGAUUAGCAUGGUCCUAUGCAAUGAUCACAUGAACAAUCAUGAAGCAUUCCAUAUUUUU